rnacentral:RNase_P_RNA from 1 species
GAUGGUCGGAUGGUCGCUGUUUCGGCAGAGGAAAGUCCGGGCUCUAGAAAACUACGGUGCCGGAUAACGUCCGGCGAGGGUGACCUCAGGGAAAGUGCCACAGAAAACAAACCGCCGUUUUUAUAAUGGUAAGGGUGAAACGGUGCGGUAAGAGCGCACCGCGAUCUCGGUAACGAGAUUGGCAGGGUAAACCCCACCGAGAGCAAGACCAGGUAGGAACAUAUUGCCAUUUGGCAAAGGGUGGUUUUCCCCUAUGUUCGGGUAGGUCGCUUGAGGCGUAAGGUAACUUGCGUCCCAGAUGAAUGGCCAUCCUGCCGCAUCGCGGCAGACAGAACCCGGCUUAUAGACCAUCUGG